GGGUGGGGAAGGGAAACACUGGCUUCGGCAAGAAAGAGGACGCCUCCGUCACAAAGGUCCGGAGGCAGGACUUGGUUACCAAGGCUCCCCAGGACGGACCUGCAGGCAGCUUUGGGGUUCAGUAUGGGCUAUUUCAACUACGAGUUCAAAAGCCAUCGAGGUCUGGUGAUGCCGUCUCACAUCGGUCAGGAAUGCAUUUAUUCGCGUCACACGUGAGCUCCGUGGACAAAGCGAGGUAUGAAAAAUAAAGACGGAGAGAGGACUGAUUAGGGAGCUGUGGUGCUGGACGCCCCCAGAGCCUGCCCGUUCAGUCUUUGUCUUGCCCUCUGUGCCAUCCUAAGAUUCCAGAGCUCCUCUCAUUUGUGACUUCAUUGUCACUUUUACGUGUGCUUUUAUGUGGCUGCAUUUCUCCCGUCCUUCCAAAGGUGGAGGCUGAAUGAUUGCACAGUAACUAGAAGCCCCUUUCUGAGGGCUCACCCUGGGCCAGUCUCUGUUCCAGGAACCCGAUCUACCUGUCCUGUGCUUUCUUCUUACAGGACCCCACCCACCCUGCCCACCCUUGCCCUGAGG
rnacentral:lncRNA from 1 species